rnacentral:lncRNA from 1 species
GGGUCUUACACAGCUUAAAUUUAGUAGGUAUAAGAAGCUCGCUGGAAACCAUCGGUGUCGGGCUGUCGGCCGACCACAGCGAGAAUGACACUGUUUUGGGGAUGAAUGAAGGGAUUAGCUAACAAUCAGGCUGGCACACAACAAAUUCGGCUAAGCCUUGGGAUCCUUUUCACUGGGCUCCUUGUUGUAGUCCCAAGCGCUAGUAUGUCUUGGCAUCGUCUUGCUGAUGAAAGAAUUCAAAACAGCUUACGUACUAGCGGCUAGAUGGCAAGAGUCAACCACC